UACGGAGGAUGCGAGCGUUAUCCGGAUUUAUUGGGUCUAAAGGGUGCGUAGGCGGGAUGCCAAGUCAGCGGUAAAAAUGCGGUGCUCAACGCCGUCGAGCCGUUGAAACUGGCGUUCUUGAGUGGGCGAGAAGUAUGCGGAAUGCGUGGUGUAGCGGUGAAAUGCAUAGAUAUCACGCAGAACUCCGAUUGCGAAGGCAGCAUACCGGCGCCCUACUGACGCUGAGGCACGAAAGCGUGGGUAUCGAACAGG
rnacentral:rRNA from 1 species